UAGCUGAGUGGUAGAGCGCGUGCUUAGCAUGCACGAGGUCCUGGGUUCAAUCCCCAG
rnacentral:tRNA from 1 species